GCCGCCACCCUACCCUGCUCCGCCACCACGGGAUCCCGGCCGGUCGGCUUCCCCCGAGCACCCCCCACCCCCAUGCGCGUCGGUCGCCGCCCGAGCGCUCCUUCCCUUCCCCGUGCUAUCCCUACCACCGCCGCGGGCGCACCCCACCUCCAACCGCAUCGCCGGCAACCGUCGACCCUCUUCCAACCGGCCUCCAACCACCUCGCUCCCUCCUACACCGCCGGCAAGGCUUCUCCUCCCCCUUGUUUCUCGUCCGGAUCCGCUGCCCCUCCACGGGUCUGGCCAAACCGCACCGCCGGCCGUGGAUCCGCCGUCGGGACCAAUCCCGACGCUGCCUGCCUCCACCACGCACUGGUGCCCCACUGAACUCUGACCACCACGACGAACACCGAUGUUGUAGGUAUUUGCUCUCCCUCCCUCUCCCUGGUCUCUCUCUGUCUUCAAUAAUCUCUGUCGCUUCUUUAGGAUUUGAACUUCUUUGAAUUUGCCCAAAAAAUUAACUGCAAAAAAAUGUUUCUGUAUUGGCUUAUUGGGUCUGAACUGCAGGUCUCCGCCCUUUUGACUGAGUGAAGCUCUAGAUGAGCAGCGACAACAAGGGAAACAAAGCUGGAAAUGGAGCUCACGCUCAUGCACACCUCUCUCCACAAGCUCGUCGCAGCCACCGCAUCAGCUUCCUCCCGUCAGCGGCCCAAACCGCCAUCGCUGCCAGUGUGGCGCCUCAACCCGGGGUUUCUCUGUUCUGGCCAUGUGCGGCCGUCCAACAAACCCGCCUGACAUAGUCCAACUCUAAUGCCAAACAUCUUAUCAUAUGGCCAAAACAUGUCAAAAUGUAUUUUUCUUGUGUACAAACAGCGAUGGUUUUGUUAUCUUUUUGCGUGUCUGUUUUAUUUUUGUGAUAAGUUCACGCUAAUAUAACAACAUGUCGUUGUAUGAGUAGACACAUGGCACUUUCAUUUUUCAGAAACUUUCAGAAAAUAACUACACAGAGAAGUUCAUGUUUCAGAA
rnacentral:lncRNA from 1 species